rnacentral:rRNA from 1 species
GACGAACGCUGGCGGCGUGCCUAAUACAUGCAAGUAGAACGCUGAAGGAGGAGCUUGCUUCUCUGGAUGAGUUGCGAACGGGUGAGUAACGCGUAGGUAACCUGCCUGGUAGCGGGGGAUAACUAUUGGAAACGAUAGCUAAUACCGCAUAAGAGUAGAUGUCGCAUGACAUUUGCUUAAAAGGUGCAAUUGCAUCACUACCAGAUGGACCUGCGUUGUAUUAGCUAGUUGGUGAGGUAACGGCUCACCAAGGCAACGAUACAUAGCCGACCUGAGAGGGUGAUCGGCCACACUGGGACUGAGACACGGCCCAGACGCCUACGGGAGGCAGCAGUAGGGAAUCUUCGGCAAUGGACGGAAGUCUGACCGAGCAACGCCGCGUGAGUGAAGAAGGGUUUCGGAUCGUAAAGCUCGGUUGUAAGAGAAGAACGAGUGUGAGAGUGGAAAGUUCACACUGUGACGGUAUCUUACCAGAAAGGGACGGCUAACUACGUG